AGGGUAUCAGCCAUGAUGCUGAUUCAAGAACAGUACAGAUAGAUUACAAAGGAAUUGGAGACGUGGGGUGAUGUGACCUCAUUUAUCAUUUCUGACAAAGUGAUGUGAGAUAUUGUAGUGCAGGAAGUUUAAGGGCCUUUUUCUCCCUACAGUGCUCAGCAGGGUAGUGGUAUUGUGAUGCCAGCAGCACCCAGAAACCACAAACAGCAGGCACCGAUGUUUUCAACGUGGCCUCGAGUUUUUUCCACUUCCACCUGCACUUGUUCCGCCAACACCAGCUCAAGUGCCUCUUCCAACAAGAGAAAAGUUUGAAAUAAUUUAAAGUCAUCUAGAUAAAUUUUGAAAGGGAUCAUUCAGCACCAUGUAGCAUAUGGCGUGAUGCUUUGUACUACAGCUCUUAGUGGCCAGCAGGUCCACGAUUCAAAUGAGCUUCUUGCUGCCUCACACUGACAACCAAGGAUCUUCUGUGGUAGAAGUGGAACACUUAACAAACAAAAACUGGUCAUCAGUUUCAGUUGUUUCUUCGUUAAUCAUUCCUGGAUGCAAAAAUAUGAGCAGUAAAUACACCUUACUUUCCUUGUGAAAAAGUGGUUAAACUGAUGACCCAAGGAGCCUGUUUCAAAGGCCAGGGAUUAACCAGGCACUUUCAGAACUGUGAAUGCCUCUGCAGAGUAUUUUUGCUUUAUCUUCGUUACAGGGAAAAAGCAAACCCAGCGCGUUUGAAGAUGCCUUAUUGGCGCUGAGGUCCCAGCCACUCUCUGAGAGGCUCUCCUGCCAUCUGGUGGUUCCUGCCCCUCAAGUGCUCAAAUACCAGCUGGUUUUGUCAAUAACUGACAGUUUUGGCAUGGUUUUCCAUCAUACCCACUUCUAACUGCAUGCUCUGUAGUUAAUUCCUGAAUAAACAUCUAAUGCUGCGUAUUCAAUGCAUUUCUUUUUUUCCCCAAGAAUAGGGAUAAUUUUGAGUCAAAUACUUGCUUCUUCUCAAAUCAGAAUUCAGGACCAGCUGGCACCAAUACUUUUCUACCGUGUUUUUGUUUUCCGUGGUUUUUUCCCCUUCCAUGUGUUGACACUGAAAAUUAUCAGCUGGACCAAACUGCUAAUCUCCAUGUCAGCUGUAUAUUUCAGUCUUUAAUCAGUAACAAAGAAAGCCGUCCUCCCUUGGUGCAUAAUGGAGAAGGAUUUGUUAAUUUCACAGACUAAUGUGGAAUAAUUA
rnacentral:lncRNA from 1 species